AACAAGUACAGCCGUGGAUAUCCGUACCCAACGUUUGACCAUUCGUCUUAUUUAAAAAAUUUAUGAAAAAUUUAAAAAUAUUUAGUCACAUAUAAAGUAUUAUUCAUGUUUUAUCAUCUAAUAACAAUAAAAAUACUAAUCAUAAAAAAAUUUCAAAUAAAACGAACGGUCAAACGUUAAACAUAAAUAGUGCAAAACUGCACUUAUU
rnacentral:pre_miRNA from 1 species